CGACCGGAUCGCCCUUGCCGGCAAUCAGAUAAUUCAGUUUGACGCCGUUGACGUCGGCGGUGCGGUUUUGCGGCGCCGACUGCGCGGACGCGUAGCCGACUGACACGAGAAAGAUGGAUGNCAUUGCCGCGGCGCAGGCCGCGCCGCGAAUGGCUCGCCGGAAAUACAGCAUGCUAAAAAGUUCCUUUUGAGGAUCGGCACGAUCCUGACAAUACAAGGGUGGUUGGCAAGCUCAGAUACUCGGCAGACGCCGUUCAGUAAUAACGCGGGAUCGGACCGUUAUGCG
rnacentral:misc_RNA from 1 species